UGGGGAAUUUUUCGCAAUGGGGGAAACCCUGACGAAGCAACGCCGCGUGGAGGAUGAAGGUCUUCGGAUUGUAAACUCCUGUCGACUGGGACGAAAACUACCCGACCCAAUACGUCGGGUAGUUGACUGUACCGGUGGAGGAAGCCACGGCUAACUCUGUGCCAGCAGCCGCGGUAAUACAGAGGUGGCAAGCGUUGUUCGGAAUUACUGGGCGUAAAGGGCGCGUAGGCGGUUGCGUAAGUCCCGUGUGAAAUCCCUCGGCUCAACUGAGGAACUGCACGGGAGACUGCGCGGCUUGAGUUCGGGAGAGGGAAGCGGAAUUCCGGGUGUAGCGGUGAAAUGCGUAGAUAUCCGGAGGAACACCGGUGGCGAAGGCGGCUUCCUGGACCGACACUGACGCUGAGGCACGAAAGCUAGGGGAGCAAACGGGAUUAGAUACCCCGGUAGUCCUAGCUGUAAACGAUGAGUGCUGGGUGUAGGGGGUAUCGACCCCCCUGUGCCGAAGCUAACGCAUUAAGCACUCCGCCUGGGG
rnacentral:rRNA from 1 species